CUGAUCCCAUCUCUAGUGUGUGCAGGGGUCCGUGUUUGCACAAGUAUCUACAUUGAUCACUGUUCGUUAUUUUCACAUUUCAUUGUAAAAUUUGAUCUGAAUGGGGUGGUAGUAUAAAUUUGGUACUUUGUGUCAACAAAAACUGAUUUAAUGCUUUAUCUUGAAUGAUGUUCAACCUAAAUAGAAACGCAUUGAUGAUGUAGUUUUUUAAUAAACAAACAAAAAGUUAUGGGGUCUUACACGCAUGCAUGCACAUUAUUUACCGUUUGUAUAUACUUGUCAAUAUUCAAAGAAUGUUGGAAGAGUUGCAUUUACAUUGGCUAGUCUAUAGAUUGCAGUCAACCUGUCAGUUACGAUACAAUCGUCCAAGUAUAUUCGGUCAAUUAGACUUUUUCUAUCAUAUCCUACCCUCACUCCUCGGUUGUUGACUGUUGUCAGUUAUUUUCGUUGUUGUUAUCAAUAAUGAAAAAUAUAAAGCAAUAAAUGUAAUUUACCAUUUGAUAUUCAAAUCAUUUUAAAAAACAUACGCCUGACAGAAAAAGCAAAAUAUUAAACGAAAGGAGAAUAUAUUGUCAUGCGAUUUACGAACCUAAUUUAAAAGCUGUACUCAGUGGUUUUAAGUUAAAGGACAUAUAAUAAAAUAAACAAAAGUAUAUAUUUUCAGUCAAGGUAAUUUGCUGAUUGUUGUCCAGUUUUACUUGUAAUCUAAUUUUUUUAACUGAUGGGAGGCACAACAGUUUGAUCGGCCAAAAAUUGUUGAUAAUGCAAACAAGUCUCUGGUGGUUGUACUCGCUCAUAAAUCUGACAAUUUUUGAAUCCAUAUGUCUGAUUCACUGAAUGUUUUAAACUGAAAAUAUGGAAGUAAUUUCAAUCCAUUGUGAAGAUAUCCCUGUAUGUAUAUUAUAAUUACUAUGUUUUGCUUUGACGGGGUUCAUUUUUGGUUUGUUGUUCAUACAAGUUACAAUUCACAGAUCCAAUUUCGACAUUACGUGAGUAAACAUUCUGCACAAUCGAUCCAUACUUGUACCUUUAUAUGCCUAUAUUUACAGGUUUUUAGUACCACCUAUCUGUGUAAUCAUUACCAAAUAUGGAACGUCAUCAAGGUCAAAGGGUGCAUUGGCUGUUCUGUUUAACGUAACGAAUAGGUCAACCAUAUGAUAUGUUAAUACGAUACUUUAGCCACCUGAAAUGUGCAAUACUCACGGAGCCCAUUCCUUCUGACACACCUUAAAGAUGAGGGGAUAACCCCGAAAAGGUGAACCAAAGAUGGUACCUGCUCUGCCCAAAAAGAUUUGCUGUAGACCGCAUAUUGAUAUGAUUUUUUGUUUUGUGAAAGCCUCAACGCAGAGGGGAAAGGGGCAAUACAAUUUAAGCAUCCCACGCAAUUGAAUGAUUAUUAUUUUUUAUUUUUUUUGGCACUUUUUAGAUUUUAAAACAUAGUACAGUUAAUGUAGUUAUAUAUACAAAACUCCAACACGUUAUACCUGUAACAUUUUAUGUUUUAUCUAUAAAGGUUCUGAUUCAUUGCGUGAUGAUAGACACAUUAAUAAUACAGUAAAAUGAUUUAUUAAAAAAAAAAAACCUUGUGGAAUUGUAUUAUGCAGAGCUUGGUCUUUCUAUCAUUGUGGUGGCGAAAGUACAUUGUAGAGUUACCCCGCUUUGUACAUGUAUUUUGUUUUAAAAUGCAGCACAUACGCACACAGUGAGAGAGAGAGAGAGGGGGGGGGGGGGUAACAAGACUUGCUUAGAUUUGACAGGAUCAAUCAACAGUCGUACAGCCCGGACCUACGCCCGACGGAUUCCGCCCUCAUCCGUUACUUGAAAACGGAACCGAAGGCCAACAAUCCCUGAAUUUAGAUCAGAUGAAACGCAAGGCAUUGCAGAUCAUCGCUCGUUUAGAUAAAACGUUUCAAUAAAGGAUUUCAAAAGUGGAUUGAUCGACAUAAGAAAUGUAUUGAACAUGAUGGCAAGUGUUUUGAAUAGGAAUGACAUGUUGGUAAAUGUACAUACAUUUUGUACAUACAUACUUGUUAUACAUAUACUGUGUUUCUAGACAGUUUUAAUUUCCUGCACACUUUUUUUCUGUAUUUGGUCUUUCGAUUGUCACUUUUUCCCUUCUGUUCUUGAGCUUGUAUGUCCGACAAGGCCAAUAUUUGGAUUUGUAAAUAAAAUAAAUAUUGUACAUAUACUUGCUUGAGGGACAACGCUGUCAACGACAUAUAAUUAUGUAAAAACAAUCAUAUGCGU